CGGGACGGGUGAGUAACGCGUGGAUAACCUGCCUCACACUGGGGAUAACAGUUAGAAAUGGCUGCUAAUACCGCAUAAGCGCACAGUACCGCAUGGUACGGUGUGAAAAACCCAGGUGGUGUGAGAUGGAUCCGCGUCUGAUUAGCCAGUUGGCGGGGUAACGGCCCACCAAAGCGACGAUCAGUAGCCGACCUGAGAGGGUGACCGGCCACAUUGGGACUGAGACACGGCCCAA
rnacentral:rRNA from 1 species